rnacentral:tRNA from 1 species
GUGGCCAUAGUUCAGUUGGUAGAGCGCCAGAUUGUGAUUCUGGAUGUCGCGGGUUCAAGCCCCGUCGGCCACCCCA